AUUGAACGCUGGCGGAAUGCUUUACACAUGCAAGUCGAACGGCAGCACGGGGCAACCUGGUGGCGAGUGGCGAACGGGUGAGUAAUACAUCGGAACGUGCCCAAUCGGUGGGGGAUAACGUAGCGAAAGUUACGCUAAUACCGCAUACGAUCUACGGAUGAAAAGCGGGGGAUCGCAAGACCUCGCGCGAAUGGAGCGGCCGAUGUCAGAUUAGGUAGUUGGUGGGGUAAAGGCUCACCAAAGCCAACGAUACUGUAGCUGGUCUGAGAGGACGACCAGCCACACUGGAACUGAGACACGGUCCAGACUCCUAC
rnacentral:rRNA from 1 species